UCGACAUUUAUGUUGAGUGGCUAAGCGAAAGUGAUAAGUAUCCCACCUGGGGAGUACGUUCGCAAGAAUGAAACUCAAAGGAAUUGACGGGGGCCCGCACAAGCGGUGGAGCAUGUGGUUUAAUUCGAUGAUACGCGAGGAACCUUACCAGGGCUUAAAUGUAUUGUGACAGGGAUGGAAACAUCUUUUUCUUCGGACACAUUACAAGGUGCUGCAUGGUUGUCGUCAGCUCAUGCCGUGAGGUGUCAGGUUAAGUCCUAUAACGAGCGCAACCCCUGUUGUUAGUUGCCAGCGAGUAAUGUCGGGAACUCUAACAAGACUGCCGGUGCAAACCGUGAGGAAGGUGGGGAUGACGUCAAAUCAUCACGGCCCUUACGUCCUGGGCUACACACGUGCUACAAUGGCCGGUACAGAGGGCAGCCACUGGGCGACCAGGAGCGAAUCCUUAAAACCGGUCUCAGUUCGGAUCGGAGUCUGCAACUCGAUCCGUGAAGCUGGAAUCGCUAGUAAUCGGAUAUCAGCCAUGAUCCGGUGAAUACGUUCCCGGGCCUUGUACACACCGCCCGUCAAGCCAUGGAAGCUGGGAGUACCUGAAGUCGG
rnacentral:rRNA from 1 species